GAACGCGAAGAACCUUACCUGGGCUUGAACUGCUGGAGGUAGGAGCCCGAAAGGGUAACGACCCGGAGCAAUCCGGGAACCAGCAGAGGUGCUGCAUGGCUGUCGUCAGCUCGUGUCGUGAGAUGUUGGGUUAAGUCCCGCAACGAGCGCAACCCUUGCCCUUAGUUGCCAGCGGGUAAUGCCGGGCACUCUAAGGGGACCGCCCCGGAUAACGGGGAGGAAGGCGGGGAUGACGUCAAGUCAGCAUGGCCUUUAUGUCCAGGGCUACACACGUGCUACAAUGGGCGGUACAGAGGGAGGCAAAGCCGCGAGGUAGAGCUAAUCCCUAAAGCCGUCCUCAGUUCGGAUCGCAGGCUGCAACUCGCCUGCGUGAAGUCGGAAUCGCUAGUAAUCGCGGAUCAGCUACGCCGCGGGGAAUACGUUCUCGGGGUCUUGUACACA
rnacentral:rRNA from 1 species